rnacentral:sRNA from 1 species
AUAUCUCUCUGUACGGGAAGGAUGAGAAGCUUCGACUAAGGUUCGAUUCGAGCGCAGCGAGAAAGCGUUGCCGCAGGCAACGACCCGAAGGGCGAAGCGCGCAGCGCUGAGUAAUCCUUCCCCCAGCACCA